rnacentral:rRNA from 1 species
AUUGAACGCUGGCGGCAGGCCUAACACAUGCAAGUCGAACGAGUGGCGGACGGGUGAGUAAUGUCUGGGAAACUGCCUGAUGGAGGGGGAUAACUACCGGAAACGGUAGCUACUACCGCAUACCAUCAGAUGUGCCCAGAUGGGAUUAGCUAGUUGGUGGGGUAACGGCUCACCAAGGCGAAGAUCCCUAGCUGGUCUGAGAGGAUGACCAGCCACACUGGAACUGAGACACGGUCCAGACUCCUACGGGAGGCAGCAGUGGGGAAUAUUGCACAAUGGGCGCAAGCCUGAUGCAGCCAUGCCGCGUGUAUGAAGAAGGCCUUCGGGUUGUAAAGGACUUUCAGCGGGGAGGCGUUACCCGCAGAAGAAGCACCGGCUAACUCCGUGCCAGCAGCCGCGGUAAUUC